rnacentral:rRNA from 1 species
AUUGAACGCUGGCGGCAGGCCUAACACAUGCAAGUCGAACGAGUGGCGGACGGGUGAGUAAUGUCUGGGAAACUGCCCGAUGGAGGGGGAUAACUACUGGAAACGGUAGCUAAUACCGCAUACCAUCGGAUGUGCCCAGAUGGGAUUAGCUAGUAGGUGGGGUAAAGGCUCACCUAGGCGGCGAUCCCUAGCUGGUCUGAGAGGAUGACCAGCCACCAUGGAACUGAGACACGGUCCAAGCUCCUACGGGAGGCAGCAGGGGGGAAUAUUGCACAAUGGGCGCAAGCCUGAUGCCGCCAAGCCGGGUGUAAGAAGGAGGCCUUCGGGUUGUAAAGUACUUUCAGCCGGGAGGCGUUACCCGGAGAAGAAGCACCGGCUAACUCCGUGCCAGCCGCCGCGGUAAUUC